rnacentral:rRNA from 1 species
UACAGAGGUGGCAAGCGUUGUUCGGAAUUACUGGGCGUAAAGGGCGCGUAGGCGGCGCGGGAAGUCCGUGGUGAAAGCCCGAGGCUCAACUUCGGGUCGGCCAUGGAUACUCCUGGGCUUGAGCACUGUAGAGGCAGGUGGAAUUCCGGGUGUAGUGGUGAAAUGCGUAGAUAUCCGGAGGAACACCAGUGGCGAAAGCGGCCACCUGGACUGCACCUGACGCUGACACGCGAAAGCUAGGGGAGCGAACGGG